ACUGCUCAGUAACACGUAGUCAACAUGCCCAGGGGACGAGGAUAACCUCGGGAAACUGAGGAUAAACCUCGAUAGGCCAUGAUUUCUGGAAUGAUUCUUGGCUCAAACCUAUAUGGCCCCUGGAUUGGACUGCGGCCGAUCAGGCUGUUGGUGAGGUAAUGGCCCACCAAACCUAUUACCGGUACGGGCUCUGAGAGGAGGAGCCCGGAGAUGGGCACUGAGACAAGGGCCCAGGCCCUAUGGGGCGCAGCAGGCGCGAAACCUCUGCAAUAGGCGAAAGCUUGACAGGGUUACUCUGAGUGAUUUCCGCUAAGGGAAUCUUUUGGCACCUCUAAAAAUGGUGCAGAAUAAGGGGUGGGCAAGUCUGGUGUCAGCCGCCGCGGUAAUACCAGCACCCCGAGUGGUCGGGACGAUUAUUGGGCCUAAAGCAUCCGUAGCCGGUCCUGCAAGUCUUCCGUUAAAUCCAGCUGCUCAACAGAUGGGCUGCGGGAGAUACUACAGGGCUAGGAGGCGGGAGAGGCAAGCGGUACUUUAUGGGUAGGGGUAAAAUCCGCUGAUCCAUAGAAGACCACCAGUGGCGAAGGCGGCUUGCCAGAACGCGCUCGACGGUGAGGGAUGAAAGCUGGGGGAGCAAACCGGAUUAGAUACCCGGGUAGUCCCAGCUGUAAACGAUGCAGACUCGGUGAUGGGUUGGCCUCGCGCCUGCCCAGUGCCGCAGGGAAGCCGUUAAGUCUGCCGCCUGGGGGAGUACGGUCGCAAGACUGAAACUUAAAGGAAUUGGCGGGGGAGCAC
rnacentral:rRNA from 1 species